rnacentral:rRNA from 1 species
AUUGAACGCUGGCGGCAGGCCUAACACAUGCAAGUCGAGCGGAUGAAGGGAGCUUGCUCCUGGAUUCAGCGGCGGACGGGUGAGUAAUGCCUAGGAAUCUGCCUGGUAGUGGGGGAUAACGUCCGGAAACGGGCGCUAAUACCGCAUACGUCCUGAGGGAGAAAGUGGGGGAUCUUCGGACCUCACGCUAUCAGAUGAGCCUAGGUCGGAUUAGCUAGUUGGUGGGGUAAAGGCCUACCAAGGCGACGAUCCGUAACUGGUCUGAGAGGAUGAUCAGUCACACUGGAACUGAGACACGGUCCAGACUCCUACGGGAGGCAGCAGUGGGGAAUAUUGGACAAUGGGCGAAAGCCUGAUCCAGCCAUGCCGCGUGUGUGAAGAAGGUCUUCGGAUUGUAAAGCACUUUAAGUUGGGAGGAAGGGCAGUAAGUUAAUACCUUGAUGUUUUGACGGUACCAACAGAAUAAGCACCGGCUAACUUCGUG